UACGAAGGGGGCGAGCGUUGUUCGGAAUUACUGGGCGUAAAGGGCGCGCAGGCGGUCCUUCAAGUCAGAUGUGAAAGCCCCGGGCUCAACCUGGGAACUGCAUUUGAGACUGGAGGACUUGAGGACGGGAGAGGAGAGUGGAACUGCGAGUGUAGAGGUGAAAUUCGUAGAUAUUCGCAAGAACACCAGUGGCGAAGGCGGCUCACUGGCCCGGUACUGACGCUGAGGUGCGAAAGCGUGGGGAGCAAACAGG
rnacentral:rRNA from 1 species